ACCUGGGUGGCUCAGUUGGUUAAGCACCUGACUUUGGCUCAGGUCAUGACCUCGAGGUUCGUGGGUUCAAGCCCCAUGUCCGGCU
rnacentral:tRNA from 1 species